AGAAUACGACGGUCCCUCUCCUCCUCCCUGGGACCAUCGACAACGAUCUGCUCUCUCCUCCUCCCUGAGCGGAUCGUGACUAAAGCGGCGGCCCCCUUCUCCUCCUCCCUAGGGGGCUGCCGCAA
rnacentral:sRNA from 1 species